rnacentral:rRNA from 1 species
AUUGAACGCUGGCGGCAUGCCUUACACAUGCAAGUCGAACGGCAGCACGGGUGCUUGCACCUGGUGGCGAGUGGCGAACGGGUGAGUAAUACAUCGGAACGUACCUUAUCGUGGGGGAUAACGCAGCGAAAGCUGUGCUAAUACCGCAUACGCCCUGAGGGGGAAAGCGGGGGAUCGAAAGACCUCGCGCGAUUAGAGCGGCCGAUGCCUGAUUAGCUUGUUGGUGGGGUAAAAGCCCACCAAGGCGACGAUCAGUAGCUGGUCUGAGAGGACGAUCAGCCACACUGGGACUGAGACCCGGCCCAGACUCCUACGGGAGGCAGCAGGGGGGAAUUUUGGACAAUGGGGGCAACCCUGAUCCAGCAAUGCCGCGUGAGUGAAGAAGGCCUUCGGGUUGUAAAGCUCUUUUGUCAGGGAAGAAACACCGGCUCUAACACAGUCCGGGAAUGACGGUACCUGAAGAAUAAGCACCGGCUAACUACGUGCCAGCAGCCGCCGUAA